rnacentral:rRNA from 1 species
ACUAAAUAGAUACCCGGGUAGUCCACGCCCUAAACGAUGUCUACUAGUUGUUGGUGGAGUAAAAUCCAUUAGUAAACGCAGCUAAACGCGUGAAGUAGAUCGCCUGGGGAGUACGGUCGCAAGAUUAAAACUCAAAGGAUUGACGGGGGCCCGCACAAGCGGUGGAUUAUGUGGAUUAAUUCGAUGCAACGCGAAAAACCUUACCUGGCCUUGACAUGCCACUAACGAAGCAGAGAUGCAUUAGGUGCCCGAAAAGGGAAAGUGGACACAGGUGCUGCAUGGCUGUCGUCAGUUCGUGUCGUGAGAUGUUGGG